CAACUCUCUCUCUGCCCUACUUUUUCUCCAUCUCUCAAGUGUUGAAGAGAGCAGCAAUCUCUUAAUCACUAACCAUCCUUUAAGAGUUCGGCUCAUCUCCAUCUCCAUCAAAAUGGCGAGAAUUUUAUACCCAUAUGGAAUGAAAUCUCAGACUUGCACAAGAGGUUAUCUCUCUUGAUGGCAGAUCUGAAUUUUGGAAUGUUAUGCCUUCAUCAGAGUUGGUUCGAUUACCAAAAUGUUUCCUUCAUUAUACGCCUUUGCCUGAAGCAGGGUUUAUUUUCCUUACUCCAACUGCCCAUGGCUUUAUUACAUAUGAGCACUAAUGAUCUCAGAAAGGUAUUGAAUAGGUAUGCAUGCAAAUCAGGUAAGAAGGGAUAUGAGGCUUUUACAAUCAACUAAGUUGGAGGAGAUUUUGGGCUGCUGUUUCCAAAGUAUCACUGGAAAGAGACAAAGCAAAAUGUGCAUCUAUUAGAAGUUUGAAGAGAAGAAAAUGUGAAAGUGGAAAGUAUAAUUCAUGGAACGACUUAUGGGAGUUGCACGUCUUCUAUCACAGGUGUUUCUUGCUUUAUCAUAUGAAUUCGGUUUUAUCUUCUUUAAUUGCAGUUGUUGUAUGGUUAACAUUGUAUUAUUGACUAUCAUAUUCACAUAAGUAAUGUUAACUGCUGUCUGUUUGAUUCAACUGCUUCAACCUUUCAAGUUUCUAAUCUGCACUUGCAGAAUAAUUUAACGUUCUUUCACCAUUAUAAUUGACCUGAAUGGUAAUUUGG